GAGCCUGAGAAACGGCUACCACAUCCAAGGAUGGCAGCAGGCGCGCAAAUUACCCAAUCCCGACACGGGGAGGUAGUGACAAUAAAUAACAAUACGGGGUUCUUUNNGAUCUCGUAAUUGGAAUGAGUACAAUUUAAAUCUCUUAACGAGGAACAAUUGGAGGGCAAGUCUGGUGCCAGCAGCCGCGGUAAUUCCAGCUCCAAUAGCGUAUAUUAAAGUUGUUGCAGUUAAAAAGCUCGUAGUUGAAUUUCGGGGUUAGUAGGUUGGUCAUGCCUCUGGUAUGUACUGGUCUCACUGAUUCCUCCUUCCUUAUGAACCGUAAUGCCAUUAAUUUGGUGUUGCGGGGAAUUUGGACUGUUACUUUGAAAAAAUUAGAGUGUUUAAAGCAAGCUAACGCUUGAAUACAUUAGCAUGGAAUAAUGAAAUAGGACGUUCGAUCUUAUUUUGUUGGUUUCUAGGAUUGACGUAAUGAUUAAUAGGGAUAGUUGGGGGCAUUAGUAUUCAAUUGUCAGAGGUGAAAUUCUUGGAUUUAUUGAAGACUAACUACUGCGAAAGCAUUUGCCAAGGAUGUUUUCAUUAAUCAAGAACGAAAGUUAGGGGAUCGAAGACGAUCAGAUACCGUCGUAGUCUUAACCAUAAACUAUGCCGACUAGGGAUCGGAUGAUGUUAAUUUUUUAAUGACUCAUUCGGCGCCUUACGGGAAACCAAA
rnacentral:rRNA from 1 species